AGAGUUUGAUCAUGGCUCAGAACGAACGCUGGCGGCAGGCUUAACACAUGCAAGUCGAACGGUUGUAGCAAUACAGCAGUGGCAGACGGGUGAGUAACACAUGGGAACCUUCCUAGGGGUACGGAACAACUCAGGGAAACUUGAGCUAAUACCGUAUACGUCCGUGAGGAGAAAGAUUUAUCGCCCUUAGACGGGCCCGCGUAGGAUUAGGUAGUUGGUGGGGUAAUGGCCUACCAAGCCUACGAUCCUUAGCUGAUCUGAGAGGAUGAUCAGCCACACUGGGACUGAGACACGGCCCAGACUCCUACGGGAGGCAGCAGUGGGGAAUCUUGGACAAUGGGCGCAAGCCUGAUCCAGCCAUGCCGCGUGAGUGAAGAAGGCCUUCGGGUUGUAAAGCUCUUUUACCAGGGACGAUAAUGACGGUACCUGGAGAAUAAGCCCCGGCAAACUUCGUGCCAGCAGCCGCGGUA
rnacentral:rRNA from 1 species